rnacentral:rRNA from 1 species
UACGUAGGGCGCAAGCGUUGUCCGGAAUUAUUGGGCGUAAAGAGCUCGUAGGCGGUUUGUCGCGUCGGAUGUGAAAGCCCGGGGCUUAACCCCGGGUCUGCAUUCGAUACGGGCAGACUGGAGUGUGGUAGGGGAGAUCGGAAUUCGUGGUGUAGCGGUGAAAUGCGCAGAUAUCAGGAGGAACACCGGUGGCGAAGGCGGAUCUCUGGGCCAUUACUGACGCUGAGGAGCGAAAGCUGGGGAGCGAACAGGAUUAGAACCUUACCGUAGUCAGACCAAGUCCA